CACCAUAGCCUCACCAUCACCACACCGUCACCAUGACCGGCUUAGUGCAACGUGUGGCUUCCUUACUCUACCUCGUGAGUCCGAAUGCAACCACAUACCAGCAUGAAGACGAAAUCCCGAAUUAUGUUAAUGAGGCAGUUCCAUUAUUCCUCGCCUUUAUUCUCCUCCUCGAGCAGCAGUUCGCUACUCGCUGGGAAGGGAAGUGAGAGCGAACGAAAGUCUGGCGUCCAUUGGCGUCGGGAUCCUCCACGAAGCCACGGGGUUCCUCACCGUGGGCUUCAUCCUGCUAGGAUACGAGUGGCUGUACCAGUGGCGGAUCCUGGACUGGGCUUGGGACUCGCUCGUCACCUGGUGGGCAUCGCUCCUACUGGUUGACAUGUGCUACUACUGGGUCCAUCGCGCUAACCAUGGUAAUUGAUGGUCGUUGGGGUGGUUGGGUGGUCGUCUCUUGGUUCUUGGGUUGUUCAUCGCGCUAAAAU